UACGUAGGGUGCAAGCGUUGUCCGGAAUUAUUGGGCGUAAAGAGCUCGUAGGCGGCUUGUCGCGUCGUCCGUGAAAACCCACAGCUCAACUGUGGGCUUGCGGUCGAUACGGGCAGGCUAGAGUUCGGUAGGGGAGACUGGAAUUCCUGGUGUAGCGGUGAAAUGCGCAGAUAUCAGGAGGAACACCGGUGGCGAAGGCGGCCUGCUGGGACGUGGCUGACGCUGAGGCGCGACAGCGUGGGGAGCAAACAGG
rnacentral:rRNA from 1 species